rnacentral:lncRNA from 1 species
AGGCUGGUGGAUGCCCCAUCCCCGGAGAUACUCAAAGUCAGGCUAGAUGGGGCUCUGAGCACCUGCUCUAGCUGUAGGUGUCCCUGCUCAUUGCAGGGGGAGUGGACUAGAUGACCUUUAAAGGUCCCUUCCAGCUCAGAUGAUUAUAUGAUUCUAAGCAGAUCACAGCUGAGAUCGCACGCAGGACUGGGCUUUCCAGUGAAGUGAAGAGCUGCACUGUUUCGAGAGCGUGCCACGUUUGUAACACAGAGCACCAAGGGCUGCCCCAAGUGGCUCAGUGUGCUGGAUGUGCCACGGGCCAGCAGAGGAGAGCUGUGCUGCAGGACUCUGCCUGCCUGCAUGUAUCUGUCUCCAGCCUAACGGCAAAAGGAAAAAAUCAGCUUUGUUAAUCCAAAAUUAAAUCUUCAGCUAUGCUUAUUUAAUUCUUUUUAUCAGCUCUUUCUCUCUUGCUAUUCCUUUUUUUUUUUUUUUCUUGCUGAUCACUGCCUUGCUGCAUCUCUGGAAUAGUUUUGUGGUUUGCUGAGAAUGCUGUGUGCUGAAUGCAACCAGGUGAUGCUGAAUGCAACCAGGUGAUGUCACUCAGAUGGUGUAAUACCAGUGUUGCCCAGCACACUUCUCUUUGGGAUUUUACCCCUACUAAAGGUCUGUCUUCCAUGCCCUGACUGCUGUUAAGUGAGGGAAGGUUGAGGCUGGUGGAGCCAAUUCUUUAUGUUGCUGUGAUAUCUGAAUACCACUGAACCCACCAGUUGAAGGCUGGGAAUUUGACAUAAAAUUAAAAUAAAAUAGUUCAGUAUUUUAUACAACGCAGUUCAGAAACUGCAAUAGCCUGUGAGCUUUGCUAAGGAAUGUGGGGUUACAUUUCCAGUAGGUGUGAACAACCUGCACCACUGGGGUGGUUUUGGGGAAGUGCAUGUGCUGUGAUUUUGUAACAAGUUAAUCAGGUGGUGACUCAUAGCCCCGUCCUGGGGUGAGCAGAGAGCAAUCUGUGAGCCCUGCAGGAGUGGGGCUGCCUGGUGGGAGGACCUCGUCCAAAAGAAGAAGGGCUCCUCUGCAUCACUUGUGGCAGUGGGUCAGCCCUGGAGCACCAUCUGCCUUCGCCCGUGAAAACCACAGGAGUUCUUGCAGAACAACUCAUUGUGUUGAUGUGCCUACCUCAAUAUUUGAAGCAAUGAAACACAUCCCCAUUCUGCUAGAGAGCAGAACACGUGAAACAGUAACCCUGGAGAACAGCACUCUGCGUGGCUUCGCAGCAUCUUACAGUGAACCUCAGUUAUGAUAUUCAGAGGGUGAG